rnacentral:misc_RNA from 1 species
UUGAGCACUCGCCGCUGGGUCCUGGCGCAUUGUGCAGUUCAGUCUUGUGGUUGUGGGGAACAGUAUUUGUCCGAGGCCCAUCCUCGCGCGGUGCUCCCGUGCAAGGGCAGGUUCUCUCCUGCGGGCUGCGGUGCUGUGCGGCGGUCGCCAAACUCGUCGUGCUGCGGCGGUCGCCAUCCUCGUCAUGCUGCGGCGGUCGCCAAACUCGUCGUGCCUGCAGUCGGAUUUGGCUCCACGAGUACGACUACGUCUCGCCCCUCAUCCAUCUGCUCCCUGCGGCCAUGUGGAAUCCCCUCCUCUUCCCUCUCCAAAAAAUCUGCGACCGGUCUUCUCACCGUUGAGCACUCGCACAGCGCCGUCGUCCUGCUGCUGCUGUUCCAGGUGAGCUGCCCGUUCGAGCGUCGUGGUUCUGAGUGUUCCAUGUCGUCAAUGCUCUACUCCGUGCUCUGGCCAUGUUAUGUGCAGAUUCUUAGAAAACAGUGA